rnacentral:tRNA from 1 species
GCUCUGGUGGCUCAAUCGGAUAGAGCAUUGGGCUACUAAUGCAAAGGUUGCGGGUUCAAGUCCCGCCCAGAGUA